rnacentral:rRNA from 1 species
UACGUAGGAUGCAAGCGUUGUCCGGAAUUAUUGGGCGUAAAGAGCGCGCAGGCGGUAUGACAAGUCAGAUGUAAAAUAUCCCGGCUUAACCGGGAGGGGCCAUUUGAAACUGGGUAACUAGAGUGAAGCAGAGGAUAGCGGAAUUCCCGGUGUAGUGGUGAAAUGCGUAGAUAUCGGGAGGAACACCAGUGGCGAAGGCGGCUAUCUGGGCUUUAACUGACGCUGAGGCGCGAAGGCUAGGGGAGCAAACAGG